rnacentral:rRNA from 1 species
UACAGAGAGUGCGAGCGUUAAUCGGAAUUACUGGGCGUAAAGCGCGCGUAGGUGGAAGUUUAAGUCGGAUGUGAAAGCCCUGGGCUCAACCCAGGAACUGCAUCCGAUACUCGACUUCUAGAGUAUGGUAGAGGGAAGUGGAAUUUCCGGUGUAGCGGUGAAAUGCGUAGAUAUCGGAAGGAACAUCAGUGGCGAAGGCGACUUCCUGGACCAAUACUGACACUGAGGCGCGAAAGCGUGGGGAGCAAACAGG